rfam:Phlebotomus papatasi Contig36390.1, whole genome shotgun sequence.
AUACUUACCUGGCGUAGGGGUUACCGUGAUCAUUAAGGCGGUUCCCCCGAGGCGAGGCCCUUCCAUUGCACAUCGGUUGGGUUGACCCUUGCGAUUA